CCAUACCAUCAUCAUCAUCAUUCAUAUAUUCCACGUCGAAAGCGACGUAUUAUAUUUAUCAACACCCGAUGUUGUAGCUAAUUCAAUUUUAUUUUUUUUUUGUUCAAAUCAAAUUUAUUUCCCGUUAUAUUAUAUUGAACGGAUAUAAUUAACAACAACAACAGCAAAAAAAAAAACGAUUCAAACUGGCCAAAAUACGAUUGCCUUUUUUCGGUGAAAAGCUUUUACGGAUUAUCAUACAGUACGAUUUCGUACUGUGAACAAUUGGCCCGAUUACUGGAAACCCCCCUAUAUUGAAUGAAAAUAUAUUUUAUUAUAUAUGAUGAUGAUUUUCUGAAUCUGAAUUUUUGUUGCUGUUGUUUUUUU